CUCGAAGUCCAGAGCCACAUAGCAAAGCUUCUCCUUGAUGUCGCGCACGAUCUCACGCUCGGCUGUAGGGGGACAAGUUGUUGAGAGAUGAGUCAGAGUGACAGAACAGCCGGGAGCGCAGACACAGCGUGCUUUGGCCAAGUUCCUCACCGGUGGUGACGAAGGAGUAGCCACGCUCAGUCAGGAUCUUCAUCAGGUAGUCGGUAAGAUCGCGACCAGCCAGGUCCAGACGCAUGAUGGCGUGGGGCAGGGCGUAACCCUCAUAGACUGGGACGUUGUGGGUCACACCAUCACCAGCAUCCAGCACAA